rnacentral:rRNA from 1 species
CCAGUGGAUCGCCGUGUAUCUGUAUCUCUCUCUUGCCCUUUCCUUCCUUCGGCGUAGUGCCCCCGCCAGUGUAGGUUCCAAAGGCCCCGCCUUCAGCGGCCGCUGCUCUACGAGCAGUUGCGGGCGCCGCUCUACGAGCCGCCGCGGGGAGGUCUCAGACGCGCGGAGCGACUACUCACAGACUACCUACGGGCGUUCUUCUAACUUGUGCUCUAGCUUUCAUUUCGGUUCCGCAGGAACUUUCUUCCCAAUCCAGUUCUCGUAUUUUGAGGUGUGGGUCCAUGUUUAUAACUUCUACUUCUUCCCUUGGGACCAUCACUAUCCUUACUUCUUCCCUCUGUAGUCACACACCUUCUAUGACUAAAUCUACUCUCUCCGAUACUACAGCUCUAGUGACUGUGACUUCGUAGUCUGCUAAACGAUAUACUUCUUCAAGACUGCCACGACUACUUGCUUCUAUACAGACUGCUGGUCUAGUAGGCAACAAAGGACCAACACCGUAAUAGUUGUAAGGAGACGGGCUGUAGUUUGUGAUUUGGUUCGUGGUUUAUAUACCCUCGAGAUCAAUUACACCUCGUUGAGUUCGUUGAUUUAACCACGUCCAAACUAGUACUAACCCUCAACUACAUAUAUUUCUUUAUGGUUUUCCUUUUCGACUUCGUCUUGGCUUGUUACUACUGAGAUCCUCCUACAUAUAUGGUGGAUCGUCAGGCAACAGAACUAAAAUGACUAAAACCGAGUUAAGUUUAGGGUAGAAACUACGGGUCUUAUACACAGACCUUCCCUCUAUACCAGUUCGUAAAUUCACUGUACUGGUAACCUUCUCUACCUUUCAUACCUACAGAGUGUUAUUUUCUUCAUAGUCUUUGGGCGAUGUUCCUACCUUGUAUGCUCACCCGUUCAUGCUAAUUCUUAAGUUUAAAGUCCUUUCGCUAUUUGUUACAACGUCCCUUAAGAAACAGACUGUUCCAGUUUCUCCUAUAGAAGGAGCGAAUGCUUUUGGUAUACUUCUUACUUCUGUAUUUAUGAACGUAGUUUCGAUUUCCCGAAGACGAUCUGUGCUAGGCGUAGUAUUGGUUACGGAGACCACUUAGUCCACUAUGUCAAUUUCACCCGAGUUGUCCUUGACUUAACUUACGUUCGGUUGUCAGGUUGUUGAGUCCUCUGUGACAGUUUGAUGUUAGCUGACUUGAAGUUCUCCUUUUACUGCCUCCCGUAGACGACGUUUCCUUUUGCCUACAAGAUAGUUGAUCGGUUGUCAGACGACCAAGAAGACGUAGUUUUUGUUUACGACCUUUUCCCUCGUAUUUACUUCGAUUACCCAAAACAUCGUCGGGAGGAUUUCAGGUACUUUAUCCGUUCAACUUCAGAUUGAGGCCUCGUGUUACAGUUUCUCUCGUAAGGAGUUUCCUGGGGUACGGUCUUUACACACAAGGUCGGCGUAGUUGAAAGCGAGGUUCUUUGGUACAUCUACCUCCUCCUCCUAUCUACGGGUUAGUUCAUCGCUUGGUGUACUAGGGACAAGUUAGUUCGUGUUCUUCGGAAACCUUAGAGAAAACUUCCGACUGUUUUUUUAGGGGAGUUUUGUCCCACUUCUUUUCCUACUUCAGGUGUGAGAUCUAUUAGUUGUUCUCUUUUCGUCGUCGGAGUUGAUGUACGAAUAACCUCUUCGUUUUCUCUUGGUGCAAGUUUUACAUCGUCUCUCACGGUUCCUUCUGUAGGGUUGUCUCGAGUAAGUCAGGUUUUAUUAAAAGUGCCUUAGUUUCGUUUGUUGUAAAAGACCAAAAGUUUUGUGUAGUUAAGUCCUUAACCUGGACGUCUCCUUUUUUAAAUCCCCCGCGGACCUAUUGGACUCGUAUCUGUAAUUACAUUUUCGCGUUGGUCUCUCACCCUGUGUAUGUCUACUCCAAAAACGUUCUCCUAUAUUUUAGUAAUCGCUGAAAGAUCUGUUCCGUUUUCUUUUUAUAAAGAAGUGGCUACUAUCGUGGGGGAGUAAGUCAUAGAGACUUCUACACCUACUUACACCUUUAUAUUAGCUUCUUGUACUUAACACCUCCGGACAUACCUACUUCCUACUCACAAUGUUUUUUUCUAUCUCCGUUGUUUCAACUUCUAGCGGUUUUUGAAGUUCCUUCAUGUCGGUCUUCUUCAACUGUAAACACACGUUCCCUUAUGUUUGAACUUCUUUGUCCCUUCGUCAUCAAGUUUGAUGCUCGAUUCGUAAGUCACGCGGGUUUCCCUUCAUGUUUCUUCAAACUACACACUCUGCGGUAUCGGGGGUUUUGGUCAACUCCUCUAACAACUACACUGUUGUGGACUUCAAGUUUACAGUUGACCCACCUUAGUGUCCGUUUGAACGAUGAGUGGUACGUUUUUAUUGUUGCUCAUGUGUCGGCUCUGAGGGGGUGAGUUUUACUUCUUCCUGAUGAGGUACCAAGGUUAUUAUCCUUUUUCCAAUAAACGUCUCCUCCUUUCGACAGUUGUUCUUAGGUCACCGUCGUUUUCCUUAGGUCAUGUUGAUUACCUUCUUUUUUGAAGUCCUGUUGAGUUUUAAGUACCUCUUUUGUACAAAACCGUUCUCGCAUCGUGUAACCAGUUGUAUUGACUACUAAAAAUGUUGUGUUUAUAGAGCAAUCCUUCCGGUUCGUCAAAGUCACCUUUUCUUUUACGUGGUGGUUUCUCCUAACAGGUUGGUUCGUCCAUGGCAUCGAGUGGCAUGCUGACGUCGUUUUCCCCGGGUUAUUACGGUGUACUCUCUUUCUACAUACUCUUGUAUUGUAGAGACCGGUUACAACUUCCUAGGUUUGGACGUCAAAACUAACUGUUUUGGUAACGGUGUAAACCUGUCAACCCAUUGAGCUACUUUUAUCCACCGGCCCAGGUCCGGAUACAGUAUUUACACAUGACAUCCGUGGAUAAAUUACUUUUAGUAGGAUCCUUGAGUGAGUUCGUGAUAAAGAAGGUGUGACGUAAACUUAUAAAGGACCCGUUUACCUUUUUACUACUCCGUUCUUAAACCACCUCCUUCUUUGACUAAUGCUCAAAGUAACCUCGACCUUUUCGUGUAUUAGAAAGCUACAAUCUGUUCAACAUGAAAGGUUGUGAUGUGCUCCUUGUAAUGAAAGACAAGCAGCAACUGUAGUUCCCAGUGUACAAAAUAAAAGAUCUAAGAAAGAUGCUACUCUUCUCGAGUAUAGUAUACUUGUAUUUUUUCUUCUAAUAGAGUUCGAAAUAUACGUGAACCAUACUUCGAGCCGAGGUCGGUUACCUAAAGUUACGUAAGGGACGACAAAUGGGAUUUCAGGGAGUUGUUCUAUUGCUAUAACUAACACCGUAAAAGUGAUACUUUGAUUACCCUACCACGGGUUCCUUAGGUUGGGGAUAUCAAAAAAGUGGUUUUCUACAGGGUCUACGUUCCUAGACUAUACGAUAACUAGAGUACAAGUCGGUGAUGUUGUGAAACCUACUGCUCUUCUUCGCACACUUCCUCAAGGCGGAUAUCUGUACUUUUUCACGACUGUCGAGGAUUUUCUGUGGUGAGUAUCUACUAUUCUCCUCGACAUAGUUCUCAGUAUACACUUGUGUGUUACGAUGUCCGUAUAUAUACACUUGUGUGUUACGUUUAUACUAAGGAACUUUCUCUUCCCCGCCCCCCCUUAUAUACAUACGAUGUCCGUAUAUAUACACUUGUGUGUUACGUAUAUAUAAUCAAAAAUCAUAGACGUUCGUACAAAACUUGUACAUAAGCACGAGCCAAAAAAAAAGGUCAUACGAGAAAAAAGUUCGUUUUUUUAGACUUAACACAAAAAAUGGGCAAAAAAUUUCAUAAGUUUCUGGUUUCUUUCAAACUAACAAAACUAUAUUUGUGAGUGUAAAAAACACAGACAAACACAAAAAAACUGUCUUUUAUGGGUUCUUUCAACGACGACGGUGCGACAAACUUCUUGUCCCCCAACAACCAUAAAGACACCUACCAACCUCUAAGUUUUUUUAGAGUAUCUUUUGAUGACUACUACCGGCGUAACACAAACCGUCGUUCUUCACCUUUUUGAAGCGUCGAUCGUCUCCUGAGUUUCAGUUGUGUCGACAAGAAUAACCGAAGUUCUCGUCGCUCUCCCUACUACAGGUACAGGACCAAUAGAACUUCUUCGAACCGAUCCGUGGUCCGUGUCGUUGACUACUGUUCGUCUCGACGCAGAUAUUAUGAGUAGACAACCCAUAAGAUAUAUAAAGACACAGCUUCAGACAUACUGCUUGGAAAAAAGUAAAAAUACGGUACAACUUGGACAGUUACAUCAAAACGCAAAGAAUACACAGGUGGUUUGUUACGCCGAACUUAUUAUAUACUACCCUUGGGGAAAAAGAUGUAAUAUAAGUUCCCAAGUGGAUUCAAAAAAAUAACUAAAAAGUCAUUUGUAAGUAUAUGAAAAAUUAAAUACACGUGU